UACAGAGGGUGCAAGCGUUAAUCGGAAUUACUGGGCGUAAAGCGUGCGUAGACGGUUGCGUAAGUCAGAUGUGAAAGCCCCGGGCUCAACCUGGGAAUUGCAUUGAGACUGCGUAGCUAGGGUGCGGAAGAGGAAGCGGAAUUUCCGGUGUAGCGGUGAAAUGCGUAGAUAUCGGAAGGAACACCAGUGGCGAAAGCGGCUUCCUGGUCCAGCACCGACGUUCAGGCACGAAAGCGUGGGGAGCAAACAGGAUUGAGAAACCCUUAG
rnacentral:rRNA from 1 species